CCUCCGCCUGGCCCAGCCCCCGCCCGCCUCGCCUCGCAGUCCCCCACCCAGAUGGGCCGCCCAAACCCCUGGCCGCCGCCGGGCCCUCCAGACCCCCAGGAACCGCACGGAGCCCAGCUGGACGCCCGGGGCAUGAAUAUUUCAGUGCUGGAGAAGCUGCCUUCUGCCGAUGUCAUGGCACCGGCUGCUGUGGCAACUCGACGAAUCCCCCAAAGGCCCAGGGAUGAAGCCCGUGGAAGCGGCCCCAGAUAUGUCCUGUGGCUCUCUCCACAUUGGCACACAGAAGAUGUGCCUCCCUCUUUGUGCCUGCUGGCGCCUAUUCCAGAAAAAGACGUGGUGUCAGCACUGAGCCCUUCCCAACACAGGGUCAUGUGUGACUCCAUGGAGCCAGCCAGAACUGCAGACCACAGCCCGGGAGCUGGCAGUCCCCAUGGGAAUGUGCAUAGCCUGAAGAGGGGGACAGUGAGCAAGACCUGCUCCCUCCAUGCUCCGAGCCCCCACCCUGGCCCCACUGUCAUCUACCAAAACACCUAGUGUCCCUUAAAAAAGAGGCGCAGCCGUGGUCAUCCAGUCCCCCAUCUCUGGAUCCUACUGCAGUCGGAUCACCCCAGAAAAGAACUCACUCCCAUUUCAAUCACAGGCUUCAGAGUGGGGCUCCAUCUGUUAUGGUCCAUAUUUUGCUUCCUGCUAGCUAUAAGCAAUCUUCAGGUCACCUCUUUGCGUUACACAGUGAGAAAGUUAUUCCCUUUCCAAUUCUGUUGUAGUCUGUAUAGACACACGAAGAACGUCUCACCUGUGCCAGUCUUUCUUUUAUACCUGAUGAUCCCUCUUUCUUCUGCAGGAAGGGUCAGAGCUUCUGCUCAGCCUCUGGCAGGCAACUUAGACUGCAUUUAAUAACAUUGUUCUAGUAUCACUGUAUUUAUUUUGAUAGCUGUUUUUCAGUUGGCACUGUUUUUAAAUUUAUGGUGGUGAUAAAAAGGUUUUUUUGGGUGAUAGAGAGUUUUUAAAUUUAAGAGUUUAAAAGUAAGGAAUUAAAAUUUCAGUUGGGUUACAAACAGUAUCAUUGGCACAAAGACAGGCCCAGAUCAGUAAAUGUGUGCUUCGAAUGGUUGAAAUUUGGAGCUCUGGGGUUGAAAAGUUAGGUGGAAGCAAUUUUGUAUCAAUGUCCCCCCAAACUGUCCCUAUCCCUGCCAAUCAAGCCAAGGUACCUUUUCAGGCUUAGCCCAAUCUCUCCUCUCUCCUGAGCUGCCACUCAGCUGUAGAAUAUGCAGAUACAUUGAGGCAGUGUUUUUUAUUAGGUAACAAAAAGGGAAGAGACCCGAUGUCCUUCCACAGGGGCUGGUUAGAUGGCCUGCACUCUGAUUUAUCAGUCCUGGGCACCACACUGCUCUUUGGAUCUCCCCAUCCCUAGCUUUGUCUUCUGCAGUCCUCUCCCCUGCCAGUGCCCAGUGCCCAGUGCCCACCCCUCCUCUCUGCAGAACCCCAUUUUUCACCACCUUCUGGAAACCCUACCUGCCUAUGUCCCAGACCCCAGGGCCUUGGACUUCUCUGAGCUUCAGAACCUUCCCUAUCUGGAUGAUUCCCUAUCUGGACAUGCAGCACAGAAUCUUGAGCAAUCUUUUCAUAGUAUGUCGGUCUUGCUUCCAAUCAAAUUGUAAGGUGCCAGAGGACAGG
ensembl:lncRNA